GGGGGGGGGGGGGGGGGGGGGGGGGGGGGGGGGGGGGGGGGGGGGGGGGGGGGGGGGGGGGGGGGGGGGGGGGGGGGGGGGGGGGGGGGGGGGGGAAAAAAAAAAAAAAAAAAAAAAAAAAAAGAGAGAGAUUAAUGUGUAAUCCAGGGAGCAGGUAGUUUUUCUAUGGAUAUUUUCCAAGUGCAGUUAUCAAAUUCUUUAAAUCAUUACUGUCAGAUUCUUCACUUAGCUCCACUACCUUGCUUCAGUAGUUUGCUUUAUCUUGCACAUGGUGCAUUUGUUUAGGAAGGAAUUUGAUUCAGGAUUUAUAUUCCACUGGCUUACACAUGCCACAGUGUCCUUAUCUCCAGAUCUGAAACAAUAACAGCAAUAAAAAAGCGCCUACAUUUCCUUCUAUUUCCUGGCUUGCCAAUAAGAAGUCCCUGCAGAGGGGAGCUUGGCUGGUGGUGUUUUGUGAUUUCUCAGAUAACAAGAGCUUCACAUUUCUGUGGAAUUCCCAUUUGCCAGUGAGCUGCUGCUGCUGCUGCCCUGAUUGAUAUAUGACUGCAAUGGCACUUUUCCAUUUGACAUUCCCCCUCUCUCCCUCUCUCUCUUAAACAACAGCCCUAACUUUUGUGUGUUGCAAAUAUAAAAGGCAAGCCAUGUGACGGAGGGACAGAAGAACAAAAGCAUUUGGAAGUAACAGGACCUCUUUUAGCUCUCCGAAGGGUUCGAGGGAAGGAGGGAGUGGCGCAUUUUCCAAAGAUGCUGCCCUUCAAUUAGCAGAGAGGAGACUGACACGGAGCAAGUGCUGCCUGACAAGUAAGCAAGCAAAGCCUGUCCAUGUGUGUGCACAGGAGUUUGGUACUCAGAGGGAAGGGCACCCAGAGGCCUGGGUAGCUCCUCAUGCAGUGCAGGUUGGGGCUCAGCAAAUCUCAGCUUGGCUCAUGCCUUGGCUCAGACCUUCAGCAUCCCUCCACCCUGGGGAUGUCCCUUGUCCCUGCAGGGUAUGGCCAGGCAGCCUUCAGAGCCACAGCUCAGCCUGCCUCCAGCCUUCCCAUGUGCUGCCUAGGCCAGGCAUUCCCAUCUGUCAUGCAGAAAGCAGCCAAGCUUUGUCCUUCUUCGACACUUUGAGUAGAUACGGAUUUUGAUUUGCAGAAAUUUCUGAUGUAUCACUAAUCACCAGUUUUGAGGGGAACAAUAUAGGGUCACCACCAAGGGGAAAAGAAUGGCAUUGCAACACUUGUGAUGUUAAAAGCCAAAAGGUUCUCCCUGAAAUGAGAGAAAAAACCUAAAAAUAACAGGGCCUCAACAUCUUCUUCCUUACAGACAUAUUCCCUACCUACUGUGGGAAUGAUGCUCACUGACCCUGAGCCAGUAUUUUGGCUAGCAAAGGCCCUAAGUGACUUAAUAUUAUUUAUGACUAUUUUCUCCAGAGGUCUUUUUGCUCAGGAUUGUGAUUUAUGUUUCUUUUAUUCCAGCUGUGCAGGAGAUUCUUUGAUGGAUUACAACCUCAUCAGACUCCAACUUGAGAAGAAGAAUGUCAGCUCAGACACUUAGACCAGACUUUUCACCAUCCUGGAAAGGAACUGGCUUC
ensembl:lncRNA